rnacentral:rRNA from 1 species
GCUAAUGUCGGGCAGGCAGUGGGGGGAUUACGAAGGGGGCGAGGUUGGUUCGGAAUAACUGGGCGUAAAGCGCACGUAGGCGGACUUUUAAGUCAGGGGUGAAAUCCCGGGGCUCAACCUCGGAACUGCCUUUGAUACUGGAAGUCUGGAGUCCGAGAGAGGUGAGUGGAACUCCGAGUGUAGAGGUGAAAUUCGUAGAUAUUCGGAAGAACACCAGUGGCGAAGGCGGCUCACUGGCUCGGUACUGACGCUGAGGUGCGAAAGCGUGGGGAGCAAACAGGAUUAGAUACCCGUGUAGUU